rnacentral:rRNA from 1 species
AUUGAACGCUGGCGGCAGGCCUAACACAUGCAAGUCGAACGGUAACAGGAAGCAGCUUGCUGCUUCGCUGACGAGUGGCGGACGGGUGAGUAAUGUCUGGGAAACUGCCUGAUGGAGGGGGAUAACUACUGGAAACGGUAGCUAAUACCGCAUAAUGUCACAAGACCAAAGAGGGGGACCUUCGGGCCUCUUGCCAUCGGAUGUGCCCAUAUGGGGUUAGCUUGUUGGUGGGUGAACGGCUCACCAAGGCGACGAUCCCUAGCUGGUCUGAGGGGAUGACCAGCCACACUGGAACGGAGACACGGUCCAGACUCCUACGGGAGGCAGCAGUGGGGAAUAUUGCACAAUGGGCGCAAGCAUGAUGCAGCCAUGCCGCGUGUAUGAAGAAGGCCUUCGGGUUGUAAAGUACUUUCAGCGGGGAGGAAGGGAGUAAAGUUAAUACCUUUGCUCAUUGACGUUACCCGCAGAAGAAGCACCGGCUAACUCCGUGCCAGCCGCCGCGGUAA